UUGAGACCGGCGCACGGGUGCGUAACGCGUAUGCAAUCUACCUUAUACAGGGGAAUAGCCCAGAGAAAUUUGGAUUAAUGCCCCAUGGUAUUAUGAAAUGGUUUCAUUUUAUAAUUAAAGUUCUAACGGUAUAAGAUGAGCAUGCGUCCCAUUAGUUAGUUGGUAAGGUAACGGCUUACCAAGACGAUGAUGGGUAGGGGUCCUGAGAGGGAGAUCCCCCACACUGGUACUGAGACACGGACCAGACUCCUACGGGAGGCAGCAGUGAGGAAUAUUGGUCAAUGGACGCAAGUCUGAACCAGCCAUGCCGCGUGCAGGAAGAAGCAUCUAUGGUGUGUAAACUGCUUUUAUACAGGAAGAAACAACGCUACGUGUAGCGUCUUGACGGUACUGUAAGAAUAAGGACCGGCUAACUCCGUGCCAGCAGCCGCGGUAAUACGGAGGGUCCAAGCGUUAUCCGGAAUCAUUGGGUUUAAAGGGUCCGUAGGCGGCCUUAUAAGUCAGUGGUGAAAUCUCCUAGCUCAACUAGGAAACUGCCAUUGAUACUGUAGGGCUUGAAUUUUUGUGAAGUAACUAGAAUAUGUAGUGUAGCGGUGAAAUGCUUAGAUAUUACAUGGAAUACCAAUUGCGAAGGCAGGUUACUAACAAACGAUUGACGCUGAUGGACGAAAGCGUGGGGAGCGAACAGGAUUAGAUACCCUGGUAGUCCACGCCGUAAACGAUGGAUACUAGCUGUUCGGAUUUAUCUGAGUGGCUAAGCGAAAGUGAUAAGUAUCCCACCUGGGGAGUACGUUCGCAAGAAUGAAACUCAAAGGAAUUGACGGGGGCCCGCACAAGCGGUGGAGCAUGUGGUUUAAUUCGAUGAUACGCGAGGAACCUUACCAAGGCUUAAAUGUAGAUUGACAGGACUGGAAACAGUUUUUUCUUCGGACAAUUUACAAGGUGCUGCAUGGUUGUCGUCAGCUCGUGCCGUGAGGUGUCAGGUUAAGUCCUAUAACGAGCGCAACCCCUGUCGUUAGUUGCCAGCGAGUCAUGUCGGG
rnacentral:rRNA from 1 species